GAUGAACGCUGGCGGCGUGCCUAAUACAUGCAAGUCGAGCGAACAGACGAGGAACUUGCUCCUCUGACGUUAGCGGCGGACGGGUGAGUAACACGUGGAUAACCUACCUAUAAGACUGGGAUAACUUCGGGAAACCGGAGCUAAUACCGGAUAAUAUAUUGAACCGCAUGGUUCAAUAGUGAAAGACGGUUUUGCUGUCACUUAUAGAUGGAUCCGCGCCGCAUUAGCUAGUUGGUAAGGUAACGGCUUACCAAGGCAACGAUGCGUAGCCGACCUGAGAGGGUGAUCGGCCACACGGGAACUGAGACACGGUCCAGACUCCUACGGGAGGCAGCAGUAGGGAAUCUUCCGCAAUGGGCGUAAGCCUGACGGAGCAACGCCGCGUGAGUGAUGAAGGUCUUCGGAUCGUAAAACUCUGUUAUUAGGGAAGAACAAAUGUGUAAGUAACUAUGCACGUCUUGACGGUACCUAAUCAGAAAGCCACGGCUAACUACGUG
rnacentral:rRNA from 1 species